rnacentral:lncRNA from 1 species
CCACUGACUCUCCCAGAGUUGUUCAAUGAAGCCUGAUUGAAAGUCCACUAGGCUUAGCGCAGCUGUCCGAAUGAACGGAGAGCCACAGGCUUGACAGGACCAACAGAUACUUCAUAAUCCCGAUGACCUCAUUAGAGUUUGCUACAUUUGCGGAGGAUUUGAGACGCGGUCAAAAUGUGGGCUUGAAAUGAAAUAAGCACACCAAGGACUGGAGCUAAACACGCGCCCUUUUUUGUUGCCUCCCCAGAACUCAGAAGUGACAGGAACCUGGUGCUGAAUACAUGAUUAUUGACUGACCAACUGCCAGCCUGGAACAAAACAGCUGUCUGCUCCUGCUUUGGAGCCUGCCCUGUCUUUUACUCCCUCCACACACACAAAAAAGAAUCCAUUUCUAAAUGUGAGCAGGAAAGCUGAAAGAAUAUGUCAAUGGUAUCGGAAAGCCAGAGCCAGACUUUGUCAGGAGUUGGAGCCACGUGCCAAGAGCAACAGGUCAACCAAUUUCCAGAAAGCCAAGAAAGGACUUUGCUAAUGAGAGAGUUUGGGCAGAGGCAACAGAACAUUUGACUAAAUCAGCUUCUGAAAUUAGAAUAAGAGACCAACAGAAACGAUGAGUAUAAGAUCAAAAAGGAGAUAAUGACUGCGUUCAGUAGAUCUGGAAAAUGGGGUGCCUGCUGCAGCCCUGGAGCUAGAAGGGCUCCGGCUCCUAACAUGCUAAGGAAGGCAAUAAGGGCUCCCAUGGCAUGGCUAUGGAUUGGAAUGCAGGUCCAUGAUCCUGUUCUCCCGCCCCAGCCCCACUUCUUAUGAAGAGGGGGACUUGGGGAUGAUUACGGCUCUGUCCUAUAGAUGGUGCCUAAGAUCACUCCACUGAUAUAUGUCCAGUGCUACGAUGACUAGAUACUGUAUAGGGAGCAGCGAUCAACAUCCCUCUGUUUCCAAGAAAGACAGGAGGAAAGAGGCCAAGAAUAAUGAUUUAAAUUAGGUGAUUACCAUAAUUUAAUUCAAUAAACAUUCAUUGAAUCAACUUGAAUGAUGUCCA